rnacentral:lncRNA from 1 species
UGGAACAUUAUUUUGGGGAGCAGGGAAAUGUUGUUGACGGUAGAUGGCAUUGGUUGAAUGAAGGAGAAUUUUUUUUUCUCUUCUCUUUUUAUGGUGCAGCGUUGCAGGGAAUCAUUUUAUCACAUCUUCAUUCUUUUGUUUUUUUUUUUGAAUGUUAACGGUGACAACUUUGAUAGUUUUUGGAAGUGCAAUCUAAUUCAUUUUUAGCAGGCAUUUCGUUUCUGCAGCUAGGGAUGUGCUAGCCC